AUGCAAGUCGAACGCAGUAGCAAUACUGAGUGGCAGACGGGUGAGUAACAUGUGGGAAUCUGCCUUGUGGUUCAGGACAACAUUGGGAAACCGAUGCUAAUACUGGAUAAGCCCUUACGGGGAAAGUUUUAAUGCCAUAAGAUGAGCCCGCAUUUGAUUAGUUAGUUGGUGAGGUAAUGGCUCACCAAGACAAUGAUCAAUAGCUGAUCUGAGAGGAUGAUCAGCCACACUGGGACUGAGACACGGCCCAGACUCCUACGGGAGGCAGCAGUGGGGAAUCUUGCACAAUGGAGGAAACUCUGAUGCAGCGAUGCCGCGUGAGUGAAGAAGGCCUUUGGGUUGUAAAGCUCUUUUGUAGGGGAAGAUAAUGACUGUACCCUAAGAAUAAGGUCCGGCUAACUUCGUGCCAGCAGCCGCGGUAAUACGAAGGGACCUAGCGUAGUUCGGAAUUACUGGGCGUAAAGCGCGCGUAGGCCGUUGAGUUAGUUAAUUGUGAAAUCCCAAAGCUUAACUUUGGAACUGCAAUUAAAACUGCUCGACUAGAGUUUGAUAGAGGAAAGCGGAAUACAUAGUGUAGAGGUGAAAUUCGUAGAUAUUAUGUAGAACACCAGUUGCGAAGGCGGCUUUCUGGAUCAACACUGACGCUGAAGCGCGAAAGUAUGGGUAGCAAAGAGGAUUAGAUACCCUCGUAGUCCAUACCAUAAACGAUGAUUGCUAAAUGUUGGAAAUUUAUUUUCAGUAUCGCAGCUUACGCAUUAAGCAAUCCNGCUGGGGAGUACGACCGCAGGGUUAAACUCAAAUGAAUUGACGGGGACCCGCACAAGCGGUGGAGCAUGUGGUUUAAUUCGAGAUACGCGCAGAACCUUACCAACCCUUGACAUGUCUGUCGCGAGUUUAGGAAACUAGACUUUUCGGUUCGGCCGGACAGAACACAGGUGCUGCAUGGCUGUCGUCAGCU
rnacentral:rRNA from 1 species